rnacentral:lncRNA from 1 species
GUCCUCCUGCUCGUGGCGCUCGUCAGGUUCUGCGGGUCGACCCUGCACGCCGUCGCCAUGGGGGUCUGCAAGGUGCUCGUGUACGCCAUUUGCUUCCUCGGGCUCGGCCUGUACUGCAUCGCCAUGGCCGUCGGCAGGGCGGUCGCCUGCGUCGGCAGGGCGGUCGCCUGCCUCCUACCUGCCUGCGCGCAGUGCCUCCGUUUCUGCGCCGUCGCCACCAUGAAGGCCCCGGGAGCCGACGGCAUGCUGAUAUCGCGCGCCGCGUUCGUGGCGAACCCGGCGCUC